rnacentral:rRNA from 1 species
UGAGGAAUAUUGGGCAAUGCCCGAAAGGGUGACCCAGCAACGCCGCGUGGAGGAUGAAGGUCGUAAGAUUGUAAACUCCUGUUAGAGGGGAAGAAUAACUAAGUUUGGAGCUUAGUAUGACUGUACCCUCAGAGAAAGCCCCGGCUAACUACGUGCCAGCAGCCGCGGUAAUACGUAGGGGGCAAGCGUUGUCCGGAUUUACUGGGUGUAAAGGGCGCGCAGGCGGAAUGGAAAGUCAGUGGUGAAAUCCUACAGCUUAACUGUAGAACUGCCUUUGAUACUUUCAUUCUUGAGUUCGGGAGAGAGAGACGGAAUUCCAGGUGUAGUGGUGAAAUACGUAGAUAUCUGGAAGAACACCAGUUGCGAAGGCGGUCUCUUGGUCCGAUACUGACGCUGAGGCGCGAAAG